GACGAACGCUGGCGGCGUGCUUAUCACCUGCAAGUCGAACGGAAAGGCCCUGCUUUUGUGGGGUGCUCGAGUGGCGAACGGGUGAGUAACACGGGAGUAACCUGGCCUUGACUUUGGGAUAACUUAAGGGAACUGGGGCUAAUACUGGAUAGGAGCUCCUGCUGCAUUGUGGGGGUUGGAAAGUUUCGGCGGUUGGGGAUGGACUCGCGGCUUAUCAGCUUGUUGGUGGGGUAGUGGCUUACCAAGGCUUUGACGGGUAGCUGGCCUGAUGGGGUGACCGGCCACAUUGGGACUGAGAUACGGCCCAGACUCCUACGGGAGGCAGCAGUGGGGAAUAUUGCACAAUGGGCGGAAGCCUGAUGCAGCAACGCCGCGUGCGGGAUGACGGCCUUCGGGUUGUAAACCGCUUUCACCUGUGACGAAGCGUGAGUGACGGUAAUGGGUAAAGAAGCACCGGCUAACUACGUG
rnacentral:rRNA from 1 species